AAAGAAGGGAAUUCAAAGGCUCGUUUUUCCUGUUUACCUCAACUUUGAUGAAAACCAAAUGAUAAGUCAGCUGAUAAAGGUUCACGAUUCCUUUCCGACAUCCGGUAGUUCCUGAGCAGUACCUGAUGCUAAAAGACCUCAGGUUUUUUGACAAGGUGCACAAGUCUUUCACCGCCAACGAGAAAUACGCACACAAGUAUGUAUUUUCGCAGCAAGGAGCACUUACCGGGGCUCUGAAUUACUACCGCUCCUUUAACAACGACAGCGACCAGCUUCAAAAACUACCUUACCGCAAAAUCAACAUAUCUACGCUGAUACUCUGGGGAGAGAAGGACGAGUUUCUAACCAGACGCAUCACAGCGUACAACCAAGAAUGGCUGAGGAAUUCCGAGUUGGUGUAUUAUCCCCGAGCAGGUCAUUGGCUCAUGCGGGAUUGUACUGAACAAGUCACAACGAGGAUCCGCCGGUUUGUGAAAGAUGCGGUACCAAGAAUAACGCCAAGUAGCUCGAUCGACAAAAAAAGGCAGCUCAGAUGCAAAGAAUCUGCGACGCCAUGGGCGCCUACCAACUGGCUCUUGAAAGUAAUUGCGUGGCUUCCGCGCCACACUAGACUUCCUACGCUCAUGGAGGAAUAAACAUCAGCACUAUCAACAAUGAAGCGUUUCCAACCCCCCCCCCCC
rnacentral:misc_RNA from 1 species